rnacentral:rRNA from 1 species
UGCAGUCGAGCGGUAACAGGUCGCGAAGCUUGCUGCNCAUGCGUGAGCGAGCGGCGGACGGGUGAGUAAUGCAUAGGAAUCUGCCCGGUAGUGGGGGAUAACCUGGGGAAACCCAGGCUAAUACCGCAUACGCCCUACGGGGGAAAGCAGGGGCUCUUCGGACCUUGCGCUAUCGGAUGAGCCUAUGUCGGAUUAGCUAGUUGGUAGGGUAAAGGCCUACCAAGGCGACGAUCCGUAGCUGGUCUGAGAGGAUGAUCAGCCACAUCGGGACUGAGACACGGCCCGAACUCCUACGGGAGGCAGCAGUGGGGAAUAUUGGACAAUGGGGGCAACCCUGAUCCAGCCAUGCCGCGUGUGUGAAGAAGGCCUUCGGGUUGUAAAGCACUUUCAGCGAGGAAGAAAGCCUGGUGGCCAAUACCCACCAGGAAGGACAUCACUCGCAGAAGAAGCACCGGCUAACUCCGUGCCAGCAGCCGCGGUAAUACGGAGGGUGCGAGCGUUAAUCGGAAUUACUGGGCGUAAAGCGCGCGUAGGUGGCUUGAUAAGCCGGUUGUGAAAGCCCUGGGCUCAACCUGGGAACGGCAUCCGGAACUGUCAGGCUAGAGUGCAGGAGAGGAAGGUAGAAUUCCCGGUGUAGCGGUGAAAUGCGUAGAGAUCGGGAGGAAUACCAGUGGCGAAGGCGGCCUUCUGGACUGACACUGACACUGAGGUGCGAAAGCGUGGGUAGCAAACAGGAUUAGAUACCCUUGGUAGUCCACGCCGUAAACGAUGUCGACUAGCCGUUGGGGUCCCUCGCGGACUUUGGUGGCGCAGUUAACGGCGAUAAAGCCGACCGGCCUGGGGGAGUACGGGCCGCAAAGGUUAAAAACUCCAAAUUGAAUUUGACGGGGGGCCCCGCACAAAGCGGGUGGAAGCAUGGUGGGUUUAAA